rnacentral:lncRNA from 1 species
UAGAAUGACUUGUAGGCUGUACUUUAUGCAUUUCUCUGCAGUCACAAAAGCUAGAAACUUAAUCUGUUUUAGAGGAAAGUUGAGAUUCUGAUGAUAAUCACUUGUCUUCAGUAGCUGAAGCUCUGAGAGACAUGAGAUACCAUAAGACAUGGCAAAACCACGAGGACUGGGAAAUCUGAAUAUGCAGUCCGGGAAGCACCUGCAGAAUAGUCCAGGACUACAGCAUGAUUCUGGUUCAGAUCCACGUGGAAGUUUUGUCCAAAACCUGCAUGAAACAGAGGCCAACAAGAAGCUUUGUAUAUUGUUAAGCUYUUGCUUGCAUUUUAGUUUCAAUCCACAAACAGGCCUAAGCAUUGUAUUAGYUCAGCACAGGAGUAAAUUCUACCAUCUGUGACUCCUUAUGCUUGUAAACAGUGUAAAUCAUAUGUAUGCUGGGAAACACUGUGCUCAGUAGAAAACAUUGGCCAAACUAGUCUCUUAGACAGUCUAUGUAAUGCAUAAAGCCUGCAAGGCCUUUUCUGUUCAAUGUCUGUUACUGUAYAGCCAUUACCUCAAAUUCUCUAAUGGGUUGGUUGUGGGGGUUUUUGUAGGCUUCAACUGUAGCRUGCUUUUUCCUAUGAUCUGGCUUGAGUUAUGGUUACAUUUCUGAUCUCCAUAAAGCCUGUGCUUUCUCUAAUUCAGAAAUGGAGAAAAUUCCUUUGACAGAUAUAAGCUGUUAUUAUACUACGUGGAUGCUCAGCUCUAAGUUUUUAACUGAGAAAUCACUGUUUAGGAAAUCCUUGUCAUCUGAAUUUCAGAUGUAUUAGCUGUAAACAUGCAGUAUGUUCCCAGCUGUAGGCUUUUUUCUUCUCUUGCUGCACACUGUUGCUCCAUGGAGUUUUGUGGAGGUAGGACUUAACUACAAAAUUUUGGUAUCAGUCCAACAUGCGCAUCUGGCUUGCUUAGUAAAUGUACUUCUACAGCAGUAAAACAAUAGGCAAUGGGGGAAGGGAGUGGAACCAAAAAGCAAGAGACAAAUGAGGAACCAAAAAGCAAGAGACAAAUGACCGAUUAGUGGUAAGAGAACUUGAAGGAAAAUUAAAGGGUCAGCAAAAGUGAAUUUUGCUGAUCUAGUGGCAUUUAGCCUCGUGUAUAAAGAAUGUCAAGGCUGCACAAAGAACAGUGUCCUGCCUUGUGUAUGUGUUGUAGACCAUAUACUUCACUAGGUCCUUUUCCUGAGCUCCUCUCCCCCCCCCCC